GUGAAACUUACAGGAUGGAAGGAAAAGUGUCUAUCUUCGGGAGGAGAUAAGGAAGUGCUUAUCAAAUCUGCUGCACAAGCCAUACCAACGUACACAAUGUCGGUCUUCAAAAUUCCUAAGAAAAUUUGCAAAGGAAUUACAGAUGCGAUCUCUCGUUACUGGUGGGGCGAUGACACAUCACAUAAGAGAAUGCACUGGUUUGCCUGGUGGAAGAUGUGCUUACCAAAGAGUAGAGGAGGAAUGGGGUUCAGAGACAUUCAUUGCUUUAAUUUGGCACUGCUGGCAAAACAAGCAUGGCGACUUAUUGAAGAUCCCGAAUCCCUCUGUGCCAGAUGGGCUAGUUGUUUGUAUUAG
rnacentral:rRNA from 1 species